UAUUGCGCAAUGGAGGAAACUCUGACGCAGUGACGCCGCGUAUAGGAAGAAGGUUUUCGGAUUGUAAACUAUUGUCGUGAGGGAAGAAAUUGACAGUACCUCAGGAGGAAGCUCCGGCUAACUAUGUGCCAGCAGCCGCGGUGAUACAUAGGGAGCAAGCGUUAUCCGGAUUUAUUGGGUGUAAAGGGUGCGUAGACGGGAAAUUAAGUUAGUUGUGAAAUCCCUCGGCUUAACUAAGGAACUGCAACUAAAACUGAUUUUCUUGAGUACUGGAGAGGAAAGUGGAAUUCCUAGUGUAGCGGUGAAAUGCGUAGAUAUAUGGAAGAACACCAGUGGCGAAAGCGGCUCUCUGGUCUGUAACUGACGCUGAGGUUCGAAAGCGUGGGUAGCAAACAGG
rnacentral:rRNA from 1 species